rnacentral:rRNA from 1 species
AGAGUUUGAUCCUGGCUCAGAUUGAACGCUGGCGGCAUGCCUUACACAUGCAAGUCGAACGGUAACAGGUCUUCGGAUGCUGACGAGUGGCGAACGGGUGAGUAAUACAUCGGAACGUGCCCGAUCGUGGGGGAUAACGAAGCGAAAGCUUUGCUAAUACCGCAUACGAUCUACGGAUGAAAGCAGGGGACCGCAAGGCCUUGCGCGAACGGAGCGGCCGAUGGCAGAUUAGGUAGUUGGUGGGAUAAAAGCUUACCAAGCCGACGAUCUGUAGCUGGUCUGAGAGGACGACCAGCCACACUGGGACUGAGACACGGCCCAGACUCCUACGGGAGGCAGCAGUGGGGAAUUUUGGACAAUGGGCGAAAGCCUGAUCCAGCCAUGCCGCGUGCAGGAUGAAGGCCUUCGGGUUGUAAACUGCUUUUGUACGGAACGAAAAGACUCUGGUUAAUACCUGGGGUCCAUGACGGUACCGUAAGAAUAAGCACCGGCUAACUACGUG